CCUAUAUGGAGAGUUUGAUCCUGGCUCAGGACGAACGCUGGCGGCGUGCCUAAUACAUGCAAGUCGAGCGGAUCUCUGAUGGAGCUUGCUCCUGAUGAGAUUAGCGGCGGACGGGUGAGUAACACGUAGGCAACCUGCCCUGAAGACCGGGAUAACAUUCGGAAACGAAUGCUAAGACCGGAUAGGCAACGAGGUCGCAUGAUCUUGUUGAGAAACACGGUGCAAGCUGUGGCUUUGGGA
rnacentral:rRNA from 1 species